AUCGUGGGGAUCAAAGAUCCGUGCAGACCAGGAGUCAAGAAAGCCGUCGAGGACUGCCAAUUCGCCGGAGUAAACAUCAAAAUGAUCACCGGAGACAACAUAUUCACGGCGAGAGCCAUCGCCGUAGAGUGCGGGAUCUUAACACCCGAAGACGAAACGAACGAGGACGCUGUGUUGGAAGGAGAGGCGUUUCGAAGCUACACUCAGCAGCAACGGCUAGAGAAGGUCGAGAGAAUCAAAGUGAUGGCGAGAUCCUCGCCGUUCGAUAAACUCCUGAUGGUGAAAUGCCUCAAGGAGCUAGGUCACGUCGUGGCGGUUACAGGCGACGGAACAAACGACGCGCCGGCGUUGAAAGAAGCAGAUAUCGGACUCUCGAUGGGGAUCCAAGGCACGGAGGUGGCGAAGGAGAGCUCCGAUAUCGUGAUCCUCGACGAUAACUUCGCCUCCGUCGCGACGGUUUUGAAAUGGGGGAGAUGCGUCUACAACAACAUCCAGAAAUUCAUUCAGUUUCAGCUCACCGUCAACGUGGCGGCGUUAGUGAUCAACUUCGUGGCGGCUGUUUCCGCCGGAGAGGUUCCGUUGACGGCGGUUCAGUUGCUGUGGGUGAAUCUGAUCAUGGACACGCUCGGCGCGUUGGCUUUAGCUACAGAGAAACCGACUAACGAUUUAAUGAAGAAUAAACCGGUCGGUCGAACCGCUCCGUUGAUUACAAACGUCAUGUGGAGGAAUCUGUUGGCCCAAGCGUUUUAUCAGAUCAGUGUUUUGCUGGUGCUUCAGUUUCGAGGGAGGUCGAUCUUUGGCGUGACGGAGAGAGUGAAGAACACUUUGAUUUUCAAUACGUUUGUGUUGUGUCAAGUGUUCAACGAGUUUAACGCGAGGAGUCUUGAGAAGAAGAAUGUGUUUAGAGGGUUGCAUAAGAACAGGCUCUUCGUUGGGAUUAUUGUUGUGACUGUGGUCUUGCAGGUUGUGAUGGUUGAGUUUCUCAAGAGGUUUGCUGAUACUGAGAGGCUGAAUUGGGGACAGUGGGGAGUUUGCUUGGCGGGACAAAUGAUGAGUCACAUCUCCCGCGACACAAACGAGCAAACCCCAUUGCAAACUCGUCUCAACAAGCUCACUUCGUCUAUAGGUAAGGUCGGUUUACUCGUAGCUUUCUUGGUUCUUCUUGUUCUUUUAGUCCGUUAUUUCACUGGAAGCACGAAAGACGAGAGCGGCAACCGCGAGUAUAAUGGUAAGAAGACGAAAAGCGAUGAAAUCGUGAACGCGGUUGUCGAAAUGGUUGCGGCUGCGGUUACGAUUAUAGUGGUUGCGAUACCUGAAGGGUUACCAUUAGCUGUGACAUUAACAUUAGCGUAUUCGAUGAAGAGAAUGAUGAAAGAUCAAGCUAUGGUGAGGAAGCUCUCAGCUUGUGAGACAAUGGGGUCUGCUACCACUAUCUGUACCGAUAAAACUGGUACUUUGACGCUUAACCAAAUGAAGGUAACCGAGUUCUGGUCCGGUUUAGAAUCAAGAAACGCUUCUUCUUCUCUGUCUCGUACAGUUCUUGAAUUGUUUCACCAAGGAGUUGCAAUGAACACUACAGGAAGUGUGUUUAAGGGUGAUUCUAAUUCAUCUGAGUACGAAUUCUCCGGUUCUCCGACGGAGAAAGCGAUCUUAAGCUGGGCGGUUGAGGAGCUGAAGAUGGAUAUGGAGGAAGUGAGGAGAGAACACGAUGUCCUACACGUUGAAGCUUUUAACUCAGAGAAGAAGAGAAGUGGUGUACUGAUCAAGAAGAGAGGAGAGAUCACAGUUCACUGGAAAGGAGCUGCUGAGAAGAUUCUAGCUAUGUGUUCUACGUUCUACGAUGGCUAUGGAGUCGCGAAAGAGAUUCAAGAAGACGAUAAGGUUAAGUUCGAGAAGAUCAUUCAAUCAAUGGCAGCUAAGUCCCUCCGCUGCAUCGCCUUUGCGUAUUCAGAACGUAACGAUAACAGCGAGACGAAUAAGCUAAAAGAAGAUAAUCUCACCUUACUUGGAAUCAUCGGAAUCAAAGAUCCGUGUCGACCAGGAGUCAAAAAAGCCGUCGAGGAUUGUAAACUCGCCGGAGUAAGCAUCAAAAUGGUCACCGGAGAUAAUAUUUUCACGGCGAGAGCAAUCGCUGUAGAGUGUGGGAUCUUAACACCUGAAGACGAGACGAACGAAGACGCCGUGUUAGAAGGAGAAGCGUUUCGUACCUACACGCAACAACAACGAUUAGAGAA
rnacentral:lncRNA from 1 species